rnacentral:rRNA from 1 species
AGAGUUUGAUCCUGGCUCAGGACGAACGCUGGCGGCGUGCCUAAUACAUGCAAGUCGAGCGAAGUGGAGGAAGCUUGCUUCCAAAGCUUAGCGGCGAACGGGUGAGUAACACGUGGGCAACCUGCCUGACAGACUGGGAUAACUUGGGGAAACUCAAGCUAAUACCGGAUAGGAUCGUAAGCUGCAUGGUUUACGAUGGAAAGUCUGAACGACACUGUCAGAUGGGCCCGCGGCGCAUUAGCUAGUUGGUGGGGUAAUGGCCUACCAAGGCGACGAUGCGUAGCCGACCUGAGAGGGUGACCGGCCACACUGGGACUGAGACACGGCCCAGACUCCUACGGGAGGCAGCAGUAGGGAAUCUUCCACAAUGGGCGAAAGCCUGAUGGAGCAACGCCGCGUGAGUGAUGAAGGUUUUCGGAUCGUAAAACUCUGUUGUUAGGGAAGAACACCCGGGAGAGGAUCCCGGUUUGACGGUACCUGACGAGAAAGCCCCGGCUAACUACGUGCCAGCAGCCGCGGU